rnacentral:misc_RNA from 1 species
UUUCCGUAGGUGAACCUGCGGAUGGAUCAUUACAGUGUUCCCUGCCCUUCGGGGUAGGAUCGCCACCCUUGAUUAUUUAUGAGUGUUGCUUUGGCGGGCCUCGCGGCCUGGCCGCGCCCCGGCUUCGGCGGGGGAGCGCCCGCCAGAGGAUUCUACAAACCUGAUUAUUAGUGUCGUCUGAGUACUAUAUAAUAGUUAAAACUUUCAAUAACGGAUCUCUUGGUUCUG